UGUAGCUCCUUGAGAAGGAUUUGGCUGUGCUGGGAAUUAUUGUGUACCAAAUCUAGAAAAGUGUCCAGCAUAUAGUAGCUCAUUGAAUCUAAUAAAUGUGGAACCCAAGGAUGUGGAAGACCAAUGGUAUUAUAAAAAGAAGAAAAUGCAGUGACUGGGGAAGCAUGGGCACAAGGAAGCUUGGGGAAGGUUUGAGGCAAAUUCUCAAUUUCUUCAUCGAAUGAAUGCCCUUGGAGAGCUCUCUUUAGCUGGCUGCACCUCUCCCCCAGAUGUUUCUGCUUGCCAGCUGGCCGACUCCACAACUCUGCUCCAGGUUGGCUAGUGAAGGGUAGGAGAUUGUCCCAGCCAGGAAGGACAGAAGCUGCUGCUGGGAAAGGGACAAAGAGGGGAAGAGGACACCCAUGCUUUUUAUCCUUUUCCUGACUGCCCCCCUUACUGUAACUAGGCCUGGAGAGAAAGUUUGUCCAUUUUUUUUUUCUUUUUAUUGAGUUUAUUGGUACAAUCUAGGUAUACAAU